rnacentral:tRNA from 1 species
GGGAAUAUAAUUUAAUGUUAAAAUAUUAUUUUUGCAAAAUAAAUACAGUGGUUAGACUCCGCUUAUUUCCAA